rnacentral:rRNA from 1 species
GUAGGUGGCAAGCGUUGUCCGGAAUUAUUGGGCGUAAAGCGCGCGCAGGCGGUCCUUUAAGUCUGAUGUGAAAGCCCACGGCUCAACCGUGGAGGGUCAUUGGAAACUGGGGGACUUGAGUACAGAAGAGGAAAGCGGAAUUCCAAGUGUAGCGGUGAAAUGCGUAGAGAUUUGGAGGAACACCAGUGGCGAAGGCGGCUUUCUGGUCUGUAACUGACGCUGAGGCGCGAAAGCGUGGGGAGCAAACAGGGAUUAGAUACCCUGGUAGUCCACGCCGUAAACGAUGAGUGCUAAGUGUUAGGGGGGUUUCCGCCCCCUUAGUGCUGCAGCUAACGCAUUAAGCACUCCGCCUGGGGAUACGGCCGCAAGGCUG